CAACCCUGAUCCAGCCAUGCCGCGUGAGUGAAGAAGGCCUUCGGGUUGUAAAGCUCUUUCGGCCGGGAAGAAAUCGUGCAGGCUAAUACCCUGUAUGGAUGACGGUACCGGAAUAAGAAGCACCGGCUAACUACGUGCCAGCAGCCGCGGUAAUACGUAGGGUGGCGAGCGUUAAUCGGAAUUACUGGGCGUAAAGCGUGCGCAGGCGGAUCGAUCAGUUAGGGGUGAAAUCCCAGGGCUCAACCCUGGAACUGCCUCUAAUACUGUCGAUCUCGAGUUCGAGAGAGGUGAGUGGAAUUCCGAGUGUAGAGGUGAAAUUCGUAGAUAUUCGGAGGAACACCAGUGGCGAAGGCGGCUCACUGGCUCGAUACUGACGCUGAGGUGCGAAAGCGUGGGGAGCAAACA
rnacentral:rRNA from 1 species